UACGUAGGGCGCAAGCGUUAUCCGGAAUUAUUGGGCGUAAAGAGCUCGUAGGCGGUUUGUCGCGUCUGCCGUGAAAGUCCGGGGCUCAACUCCGGAUCUGCGGUGGGUACGGGCAGACUAGAGUGAUGUAGGGGAGACUGGAAUUCCUGGUGUAGCGGUGAAAUGCGCAGAUAUCAGGAGGAACACCGGUGGCGAAGGCGGGUCUCUGGGCCGAUACUGACGCUGAGGUGCGAAAGCGUGGGGAGCGAACAGG
rnacentral:rRNA from 1 species